rnacentral:rRNA from 1 species
AAACCGCGAAUGGCUCAUUAAAUCAGUUAUGGUUCCUUAGAUCGUUCAUACUACAUGGAUAACUGUGGUAAUUCUAGAGCUAAUACAUGCAAAAAGCUCCGACCGUAUGGGAAGAGCGCUUUUAUUAGACCAAAACCAAUGGGGUCGCAAGAUCCCUUUGUAUGGUGACUCUGGAUAACUUUGUGCUGAUCGCAUGGCCUCGAGCCGGCGACGUAUCUUUCAAGUGUCUGCCCUAUCAACUUUCGAUGGUAAGCGAUUUGCCUACCAUGGUUGUAACGGGUAACGGGGAAUCAGGGUUCGAUUCCGGAGAGGGAGCAUGAGAAAUGGCUACCACAUCUACGGAAGGCAGCAGGCGCGCAAAUUACCCACUCCUAGAACGGGGAGGUAGUGACGAAAAAUAACAAUACCGGACUCAAUGAGGCUCGGUAAUUGAAAUGAGUACAGUUUAAAACCCUUAACGAGGAUCUAUUGGAGGGCAAGUCUGGU